rnacentral:rRNA from 1 species
UACGUAGGGUGCGAGCGUUGUCCGGGAUUAUUGGGCGUAAAGAGCUCGUAGGCGGCUUGUCGCGUCGGAUGUGAAAGCCCGGGGCUUAACUCCGGGUCUGCAUUCGAUACGGGCAGACUAGAGUCCGGCAGGGGAGACUGGAAUUCCUGGUGUAGCGGUGAAAUGCGCAGAUAUCAGGAGGAACACCGGUGGCGAAGGCGGGUCUCUGGGCCGGAACUGACGCUGAGGAGCGAAAGCGUGGGGAGCGAACAGG